rnacentral:rRNA from 1 species
UGCCCCAGGCAGCUGCCUAUACUUGCAGUCGAGCGAAGGAGCGAAGUUUGUUGGCUGUCUUGGUGGGUGUGGGGGAGGGAAGAAGAUAUCAGAAAGUGCCCUUACGGGGGAUAACUAUUCAGAAGAGUGGCUAAUACCGCAUACGCCCUACGGGGGAAAGGGGGGGAUUCUGCGGAACCGCUCACUAUUGGAUCGGCCUAUAUCGGAUUAACUAGCUGGUGGGGCAAAGGCUCACCAAGGCAACGAUCCGUAGCUGGUUUGACAGGACGACCAGCCACACUGGGACUGAUACACGGCCCAGACUCCUACGGGAGGCACAGUGGGGAAUUUUGGACAAUGGGGGAAACCCUGAUCCAGCCAUCCCGCGUGUAUGAUGAAGGCCUUCGGGUUGUAAAGUACUUUUGGCAGAGAAGAAAAGGUAUCGCCUAAUACGAGAUACUGCUGACGGAAUUUGCUAAUAAUCACCGGCUAACUACGUGCCGCCAGCCGCGGUUAUACGUAGGGUGCCCGCGUUAAUCGUAAUUACUGGGCGUAAAGCGGGAGUAAGGGGUUCUGAAAAAAGAUGUGAAAUCCCAGGGCUCAAUCUUGAAUCUGCUUUUUUAACUGCCGAGCUACAUUAUACCCGAGGGGACUAGAAUUCCACAUGUAUCAGUGAAAUGCGUCCAUAU